rnacentral:tRNA from 1 species
GCUGGCAUAGCUCAAUUGGUAGAGCAACUGACUUGUAAUCAGUAGGUUCCGGGUUCAAUUCCUGGUGCCAGCACCA